CCUACGGGGGGCAGCAGUGAGGAAUAUUGGUCAAUGGACGAGAGUCUGAACCAGCCAAGUAGCGUGAAGGAUGACUGCCCUAUGGGUUGUAAACUUCUUUUAUAUGGGAAUAAAACAGGGUAUGCAUACCCUCUUGUAUGUACCAUAUGAAUAAGGAUCGGCUAACUCCGUGCCAGCAGCCGCGGUAAUACGGAGGAUCCGAGCGUUAUCCGGAUUUAUUGGGUUUAAAGGGAGCGUAGGUGGAUUGUUAAGUCAGUUGUGAAAGUUUGCGGCUCAACCGUAAAAUUGCAGUUGAAACUGGCAGUCUUGAGUACAGUAGAGGUAGGCGGAAUUCGUGGUGUAGCGGUGAAAUGCUUAGAUAUCACGAAGAACUCCGAUUGCGAAGGCAGCUUACUGGACUGCAACUGACACUGAUGCUCGAAAGUGUGGGUAUCAAACAGGAUUAGAUACCCGUGUAGUC
rnacentral:rRNA from 1 species